rnacentral:piRNA from 1 species
UGCAACAAUUGAAGUGAAA